CGUGGGGAACCUGCCCCAUAGUCUGGGAUACCACUUGGAAACAGGUGCUAAUACCGGAUAAGAAAGCAGAUCGCAUGAUCAGCUUUUAAAAGGCGGCGUAAGCUGUCGCUAUGGGAUGGCCCCGCGGUGCAUUAGCUAGUUGGUAAGGUAAAGGCUUACCAAGGCGAUGAUGCAUAGCCGAGUUGAGAGACUGAUCGGCCACAUUGGGACUGAGACACGGCCCAAACUCCUACGGGAGGCAGCAGAA
rnacentral:rRNA from 1 species